GCCGAGGGGCGGUGCCGGCUCCGCCUCCGCCUCCCGCCUUCGCCCGGCGGGCGGGGGAAGCCCCGGCCCCGACCCCUCCUCCUGCCGGGCCGGGAGAACCGGCUCUUGGCCGGGAGGGGGGGGGCUGGCUCCAGCACUGGGGUCAGGGGGCUCCAAUUUGUCCGCAGAAGCCCCAGCUGGGCUGGCAGGGGCUGCAGGUCUGGGAGCGCCUCAGGCAGAACAAUACUGAUGACGGGAUCCAGUUCCUCUCCCCACACUGCUCUGCAGUGGGCAAGCAGGAGCCCUCAAGUCACUGCGGGCCAGGACUCAGGAUUGGGAUGAGGCAUCAGCAGGUCUCUGUGUUUGUGUGGAGUCCGGGACUGGCUCAUCCCUUCAUCUGUGUCAUCAGAAAGAUCCUGGGCAAAACUUUCCUGCAGCCGGGAAGCACCAAGGGGUGAAUUUUUCUCCCGGGAUGUGCAGGCAGGAAGCGGCAGAAAGGCCUCUGAGCGUUCCAGCUGGGCAACAAGCGCCACUCGCCGGCACUCUGCCCGCCAGUGACCAAACCACAGGACACCUCGCUCUUGGCCUGCUGCUGUUCCCUCUCUGCCCUGGUUGUCUGCAAACCUCUCUCAGGCGGAAGUCCAGGUUCCAAGGCAGAGCCGUAACUAGUGGCUUUUUUCUCUCUCUCCACCUCUUUCUGCGCCCCCCGGCUUUGUGUGCCUGAGGCAAGUGCCUCACUCGCCUCGCCCUUGUGACGGCGCUGUUCCAAGGGGAGCAAGACAUCCAGAUCCACCUCGUGGCCGUGGCCCCGCAGGCGUCCAGCUGCAGAGGAGCCCCUCGCUGGACCGGCCCCGUGCUGCUGGAGAUUAGAGAGCGGGGCCUUCGAGGCCUUUUCGAGAGUUCUCGCCCAACUGC